rnacentral:rRNA from 1 species
GUAAGGAAUAUUGGACAAUGGAGGCAACUCUGAUCCAGCCAUGCCGCGUGAAGGAUGAAGGCCCUAUGGGUCGUAAACUUCUUUUGUACGGGAGAAAACCAUUUCACGUGUGAGAUGUUGAUAGUACCGUAAGAAUAAGGAUCGGCUAACUUCGUGCCAGCAGCCGCGGUAAGACGAAGGAUCCAAGCGUUAUCCGGAUUCAUUGGGUUUAAAGGGUGCGUAGGCGGAUUUGUAAGUCAGUGGUGAAAGCCGAUAGCUCAACUAUCGAACUGCCAUUGAUACUGCAGAUCUAGAAUAUAGAUGAUGUUGGCGGAAUAUGACAUGUAGCGGUGAAAUGCAUAGAUAUGUCAUAGAACACCGAUUGCGAAGGCAGCUGACAAAACUAUUAUUGACGCUGAUGCACGAAAGUGCGGGGAUCAAACAGGAUUAGAAACCCCAGUAGUCC